rnacentral:rRNA from 1 species
CCUACGUGUGGCCGCAGUGGGGAAUAUUGCACAAUGGGGGAAACCCUGAUGCAGCGACGCCGCGUGAGUGAAGAAGUAAUUCGUUAUGUACAGCCCUAUCAUCAGGGAAGAAAAUGACGGUACCUGAGUAAGAAGCCCCGGCUAACUACGUGCCAGCAGCCGCGGUAAUACGUAGGGGGCAAGCGUUAUCCGGAUUUACUGGGUUUACAGGGAGCGUAGACGGCAGAGCAAGUCUGGAGUGAAAUGCCGGGGCCCAACCCCGGAACAGCUUUGGAGACUGUGCAGCUGGAGUGCAGGAGAGGUAAGCGGAAUGCCUAGUGUAGCGGUGAAAUGCGUAGAUAGUAGGAGGAACACCAGUGGCGAAGGCGGCUUACUGGACUGUAACUGACGUUGAGGCUCGAAAGCGUGGGGAGCAAACAGGAUUAGAUACCCGGGUAGUC